UAGGGAAUCUUCCGCAAUGGACGAAAGUCUGACGGAGCAACGCCGCGUGAGUGAUGAAGGUUUUCGGAUCGUAAAACUCUGUUAUUAGGGAAGAACAAAUGCGUAAGUAACUGUGCGCAUCUUGACGGUACCUAAUCAGAAAGCCACGGCUAACUACGUGCCAGCAGCCGCGGUAAUACGUAGGUGGCAAGCGUGAUCCGGAAUUAUUGGGCGUAAAGCGCGCGUAGGCGGUUUCUUAAGUCUGAUGUGAAAGCCCACGGCUCAACCGUGGAGGGUCAUUGGAAACUGGGAAACUUGAGUACAGAAGAGGAAAGUGGAAUUCCAUGUGUAGCGGUGAAAUGCGCAGAGAUAUGGAGGAACACCAGUGGAGAAGGCGACUUUCUGGUCUGUAACUGACGCUGAUGUGCGAAAGCGUGGGGAUCAAACA
rnacentral:rRNA from 1 species